rfam:Tupaia chinensis contig120753, whole genome shotgun sequence.
GUGCUCACUUUGACGUUCACGUUUACUAAAACUGGAUUAAUACAGAGAAGAUUAGCAUGACCCUUGCGUAAGGAUGACACGCAAAUUUGUGAAGCAUUCCAUAUUUUU